GAGUUCGGCUUGAGCUCUCUCUGGAGAUGGACUAUGAAUGCUAUGCUCUGAAGCCGAGAAAUGCAAACUGUAAAUAGAUUAUGUAAAUAAAGUUAAUCAACAGUUGGACUUCAUCUGCUGGAGUGUUUGUUUGACCAGUGCUGAUUCUCAGCAUGGGAAUACAGUCUGGAGAAGGAGGCUAGGUCCUCAUGUAAGCUGCCCUGAGUCCCUUUGGGGAGAUGGAGGCAUGUUGGAAGCUACCCUAAAGCUACAAAUAAAGAUGAUGAUGAUGAUGAUGAUGAUGAUGAUGAUGAUGAUGAUGAUGAUUAAGAGUGAACCAAAUUUACAAGUCAGGAUCAAGUUAUGGUUUGUAUUGAGAAUGAAGAAUGUUCAG
rnacentral:lncRNA from 11 species